AUUGAACGCUAGCGGGCUGCUUUACACAUGCAAGUCGAACGAGUGGCGGACUGGUUAGUAAUAUAUCGGAACGUGCCCAGUAGAGGGGGAUAACUACUCGAAACAGUGGCUAAUACCGCAUACUAUUGUAUCGGCCGAUAUCGGAUUAGCUAGUUGGUGGGGUAAAGUCUCACCAAGGCACCGAUCCCUAGCUGGUUUGAGAGGACGACCAGCCACACUGGGACUGAGACACGGCCCAGACUCCUACGGGAGGCAGCAGUGGGGAAUGUUGGACAAUGGGGGAAAGACUGAUCCAGCCAUCCCGCGUGUAUGAGAAGGCCUUCGGGUUGUAAAGUACUUUUAGCAGAGAAGCGGUAUCUGCAGAAUAAGCACCGGCUAACUACGUGCCAGCAGCCGCGGUAAUAC
rnacentral:rRNA from 1 species